rnacentral:rRNA from 1 species
UACGGAGGGUGCAAACGUUGCUCGGAAUCAUUGGGCGUAAAGCGCACGUAGGCGGACCGCUAAGUCGGAUGUGAAAGCCCUCGGCUUAAUCGAGGAAGUGCAUUCGAAACUGACGGUCUUGAGUAUGGAAGAGGGUCGCGGAAUUCCCGGUGUAGAGGUGAAAUUCGUAGAUAUCGGGAGGAACACCAGUGGCGAAGGCGGCGACCUGGGCCAAUACUGACGCUGAGGAGCGAAGCGUGGGAGCGAACAGG